GAUGAACGCUGGCGGCGUGCCUAAUACAUGCAAGUCGAACGGGGAGUAGCAAUACUCUUAGUGGCGAACGGGUGAGUAACGCGUUGGUACCUGCCCCGAAGCGGGGGAUAACGGACCGAAAGGUCCGCUAAUACCCCAUGUGCUCGGUAACGAGUAAAGGUGAAAACCACUUUGGGAGGGGCAUGCGUCCCAUCAGCUAGUUGGUAAGGUAACGGCUUACCAAGGCGAUGACGGGUAGGGGACCUGAGAGGGUGGCCCCCCACAAUGGAACUGAAACACGGUCCAUACACCUACGGGUAGCAGCAGUAGGGAAUAUUGGUAAUGGGCGCAAGCCUGAACCAGCAACGCCGCGUGUGCGAUGACGGCCUUCGGGUUGUAAAGCACUUUUGACUGGGACGAGGAAGGACGGUACCGGUCGAAUCAGCCUCGGCUAACUACGUG
rnacentral:rRNA from 1 species